CAGCUUCUGGACGUUGUGUUGGAAAGUUUCAUGAACCUUAUCACUUAGAGGAAGGAGAAGUCGUAACAAGGUUUCC
rnacentral:rRNA from 2 species